rnacentral:rRNA from 1 species
UACGAAGGGGGCGAGCGUUGUUCGGAAUCACUGGGCGUAAAGGGCGCGUAGGCGGCCUCUCUUGUCGCGUGUGAAAGCCCCGGGCUCAACCUGGGAAUUGCAUUCGAGACUGAAUAGCUAGGGUACGGUAGAGGGAAGUGGAAUUUCCGGUGUAGCGGUGAAAUGCGUAGAUAUCGGAAGGAACAUCAGUGGCGAAAGCGACUUCCUGGACCAGUACCGACGUUCAGGCACGAAAGCGUGGGGAGCAAACAGG